CCUACGGGGGGCUGCAGUGGGGAAUAUUGGACAAUGGGCGGAAGCCUGAUCCAGCCAUGCCGCGUGUGUGAAGAAGGCCUUUUGGUUGUAAAGCACUUUAAGCGAGGAGGAGGCUCCUUUAGUUAAUACCUAAAGAGAGUGGACGUUACUCGCAGAAUAAGCACCGGCUAACUCUGUGCCAGCAGCCGCGGUAAUACAGAGGGUGCGAGCGUUAAUCGGAUUUACUGGGCGUAAAGCGUGCGGAGGCGGCUUUUUAAGUCGGAUGUGAAAUCCCAGAGCUUAACUUAAGAAUUGCAUUCGAUACUUGAAAGCUAGAGUAUGGGAGAGGAUGGUAGAAUUCCAGGUGUAGCGGUGGAAUGCGUAGAGAUCUGGAGGAAUACCGAUGGCGAAGGCAGCCAGCUGGCCUAAUACUGACGCUGAGGUACGAAAGCAUGGGGAGCAAACAGGAUUAGAUACCCCUGUAGUC
rnacentral:rRNA from 1 species